GACGAUCGCUGGCGGCGUGCUUAACGCAUGCAAGUCGAACGGAGUGGCGAACGGGUGAGUAACACGUGGGUGACCUGCCCUGCACUUCGGGAUAAGCCUGGGAAACUGGGUCUAAUACCGGAUAGUGUGGGAUGGGCCCGCGGCCUAUCAGCUUGUUGGUGGGGUAAUGGCCUACCAAGGCGGCGACGGGUAGCCGGCCUGAGAGGGUGGACGGCCAAAGUGGGACUGAGACACGGGCCAGACGCCUACGGGAGGCAGCAGUGGGGAAUAUUGCACAAUGGGCGGAAGCCUGAUGCAGCGACGCCGCGUGGGGGAGGACGGCCGUCGGGUUGUAAACUCCUUUCACCAUCGACGCGGUAGAUGGAGAAGAAGCACCGGCUAACUACGUGCCAGCAGCCGCGGUAAUAC
rnacentral:rRNA from 1 species